AGUGAACGCUGGCGGCGUGCCUAAUACAUGCAAGUCGCACGGAGUGGCGCACGGGUGAGUAAUAUAUAGCUAAUCUGCCCCUUGCUGGAGGACCACAGUUAGAAAUGACUGCUAAUACUCCAUAGCAAGGGAUGAGACACUAUCGUUUCAGCUAGUAGGUGGGGUAACGGCCUACCGAGGCGAUGACGCGUAACUGGUCUGAGAGGAUGAUCAGUCACAGUGGAACUGAGACACGGUCCAAACGCCUACGGGAGGCAGCAGUAGUGAAGAUGGCGAAAUGGGGGAAACCCUGACGCAGCAUCGCCGCGUGGAGGAUGACACUUUUCGGAGCGUAAACGCCUUUUGUUAGGGAAGCGGUACCUAACGAAUAAGCACCGGCUAACUCCGUGCCAGCAGCCGCGGUAAUAC
rnacentral:rRNA from 1 species